GAUUAAAAAGUGAAAUUUUACGUUUAGUUUCGACCUAAAUUUUGAUCAUUAGAUCUUUAAUCU
rnacentral:tRNA from 1 species